CGAAGCCAAAACAGCGCGGAGGAACACGGAACUGCAGAGAGCGAGAAGAGGCCAACAUGAGAAAAUAGCAGUGGCUGCACGGAACACGGCUGGAGCAACGGUCAGGUGCCACAGUCCCAGGACCGCAGGCGAGAGGAAGCUGUAACAUCACACGGUGACCACAGACAUGCCCUGAAAAAGUGAGACCAUGUCGGCCGGCCGACCAACACAGGGAUCGAACGCAGUAGACGGAACCCAUUCCCAUACAUCUGGCUGGGCUGAGAAAGACAGCAAGGUAAAGAGGAAGGAGAUUCCCUAAAGGAAAAUAAAAGUAAUUGUUUAUUUAAAAGGGCUGCAUUGGGGGUAUAUCGACACUUUUAUAAAAAUAGAUUUUGUAAGCUAAAAAGAGGAUGGCAGUGGGGUGCAAAAAUAUGGAACAGGGCCCUCUGCCAAAGUAUGGGAGCGUUGUGAAACUUCACAGGACGGCAGACAGAACAUUACCGCGUUAUUUUGGGAGCGUGGUGUUCAGCGCACCAUGCAUGGCUUAGAGGUGUGAUUUGUUUCGUUUUCACUCGCUUGCUUUUCAAGUGUACCCAUUUGUCUUGAAGGACGUCCCUCACUGUGCGGGAGGCCAGUCCAUUGUAGCGCUUGUGUUAUCCUUCAUGUUAUUAUUUGAAACUGAAAUAACCUCACCCCCCCAACCCCAAUUCCCUCACCCCCAGUAGUAUGGGCUGCCAAGUUUCUGCUCCCUCCCAACCCCUUUGCUCAUUUUUCAUCCUUGUUUAAAUAUAGCACCCUGCCCCCCCUCCCCAAGUGGGCGCUUGUUCUUGCUGUUCCCACAGGCCUGGGAGAAGCCUGGAGGCUUGGGGUCCACCGCCCUGCCAGUCCUGCUCUCAAAGUGCGGUCGGCUUCCACCUUGGCUCCGGACCGAUCUAAUCAGCCCCCUGGAAAUACGGGUAAUGUAAUCCGGGGGUUGCAGACAGAUCAGGCGGAUCACGUGUGAAUCUCCUCCUAUCGCGCGGCUCCUCCAGCUAGACAUCUCCAGAAGGGAAGGUGGAGUGAGCUACCAGGAGGUGUAUGUGCAAGCAUGUUUUCACGUCUCUGACUUGUGACGUUUUGAGCUUGGGGGCCUGGACAGUGGCUGGUUUGGGGUGGCCGCACCAAGGCCGCUUCCUUCCUCUCCAAGACAGUUCCUUAAUUACCCAUCGCAGCGAAGGGGCCUUUGUGCUGCUGUAGCGAGAGCCGUUAGCAGGGCUUGUGCAACACCGCAGGUCAAUUAAGCUGAAAAUGGGCAACAAAAAGGAAAACAGACCUGUGUCGAACACGUAGCUGGCAGGGAAGCAACAAACGGCCAUUUUUUUAGGCCACCGGGGCUUUUGACUCUGAAGCAGCAGGCCCCUGAACCUGAAUGGCUUUGACACACAAAGGCUCAAGUGGGGCCAUUGAGACGCCGCAGUGCCACCUGUCCGAGUGACCCGGCUCCUCCACAUCUCCUCUGAUGGGAUCCUCAGCUGCCCUGCUGCACUGCUGUGUGAGCUGGGCCAUCGGUGUUCUUCUCCUUCUUUAUUGCCUCCUAAAUAAGUAAGUAGGGCACUUAUUCUGAUCCGUCGGAUCUUUUUUCAUACUCUGACAAAACUUCCUCACAAUACACUUAAAUAAAGGUGCACACGAAGUGAUGAGGAACGACAGUUUCAGUGACUAUGAUCUGGGACGGUAAUGAAAGCCAUUUCACAUGAACGGCUUGAAACAGUUUUCUUGACGAACACCAAUGGAAUAACACCUUUGCCUCCUCCGCACCGGUCUGUAGAUGGCGCUGGUGUGUAGAGGCUGCUGAAAGAGCAGCCCCACAGUAGAGUAAAACUGCAGUGUACAUUGUAGCCAGUCUCACUCACACCACAGCACAGGUACCUGGCGUGGAGCGGCUGGGGGAGGCAGGAACAGAGUGCGCCCAAGGGACUGCUUUUCCACCAAUGAAACGGGGGCAGCCUAUGUGUCCACGGCAACGCUGGGUCUUCAAAAGAAGAAAAGCGGCAAGCAGUUCCUGACCUGCUGACCAACACCUCCCCCGACGUGGUCGCCUCUCACUGCAGCCGGGUCCGAGCGGAGCUGGGAACAGCAGCGGCAUCCAAAAGGCUGCCAUCCCACAGAUAAUUCAUCGCCGACACAAAGCUGACCUUUAGAGGCAUACAAGUGGGAAUUUCAUUCUGUUUACAAAACACUGUCGCCCUUUACCACUGGAGGGGUGACGUCGAGCCAGCAGAUGACCUGUUAACUCCUGUGUACGGACACAAGUGGAAAACUGAAGGGCUUCUUUACAAAUUACAUAAAAAAAACCCUUUGAUGCAACAACACACUUCAACGGGGAAAUCUUACACAGUCUUACAGUCUAACAUCCAUGCAAUAAACGGGGAAACCAAUUGAGCAUGUAGUUUAUGGACGACAGAGCACUGUAAGGAAAAACUGCUGUUUCAACAGGAAGGAUUAAACUGACUUCCACUGGGAGAUGCUUAAAAGAACAGACCUUACUCGUGGAUCUUGUGUACAUCCAAAAGUGACACGGAAAUGUAAUUCUGAAUCUAGACAAACUGUGGAACGAACCUGUGGCAGGAUUUAGACUCUGGUUAGACAGGCGUCACUGUCACACUUAAAAAGUCACUGUACAGAAGUGACUCGCAGUCUCACAAGCACUGCCGCCUCUGCCGCCUUUCUUCAUAUCCCCACUGUGGAGAGUCGCUCCACUGGAAAAUGUCACCAAUUUGCCUGUCAACUUCGCAUUCUAAUUGCCUUAAUGAUUCCUGUCCCCCUCCCCCAACACCCCUGUCUCACAUCUACACACACCUCCACAUACACACACACACACACACACACACACACACACACACACACACACAGAGAGAGAGAGCGGUCCCACCCCCUCCAUUUUCCGCGUGUUUAGACUUUACAGUCCCAGGGAGCACCCUCGCAAUAAUAAAUAAAAAAUUUCAUACUACAGUUACCACAAGUCUCCUACCCUGACCUGUAUAGCUGUCGAGGAGAAUGGUGAAAACCAACAUUGUUCCAGAUUAUUCUAAACCCUGUGACAGGACUGUGUUUAUUUGUCCACAGCAAAAUGAUUUAAAAGUCCUGAGAUCAUCCUGCUAGCCUCCACUACGUCUCCGUUCGCACCAAUGUUUUCAUCUCAGCUGCAGAACCAUGCAGGAUCCAACACCACACCUUCACCAAACACCAAGAGUGUAACCACAGCAGAGCACAAAAUGGCUCCCAGGAUUAUCUUGCAAGGCCCAUCGUCCCCACAUAACCGGAGCCAGAAGAUUGCAGCAAGAGGUGUACGCCCAUCGUCCGCUCCUUCCCGCGCUUUCCGAAAGGCACGGCUUUGUUCCCACCGGGUCACGCCACCACGCAGAGUAAAACACAAAACAUCUGGCUUCCUAAUGAGCGAUAUCAAUUUGGAGGGCUAUCUGGGAUCCCCUCCCUAUGCUCCAAAUUCCUUUGUAAGGCAGAUGAGAGUAGGGCCCUCCCCCACAGCACUUGCGGGCCUUUGCAGGUCCUUUGUAGCCAUCUUGAAAGUAGCCUCAUCUUCUGUUCCCUCCACAAAAAACAACAUCCUGGCACUGGGCUGUAGGGCGAUCUGGGCUUUUCAAUACCGCCAGUUACUCCAUUUACAUUUCAAUCGUAGUCAUGCAGGUCAACCCGUGCUGCUGAUUGUUUCUCUUUCCAUUUUCUUUUUGAAUUUGCACAUAAACAUCUCACGCUUUUCUGGCGGCAGACGUUUGACGGUUGGACCUGAGCUCAUUUGCACAGCGCCUUCACGGUGCCGCCCUUCCGGUUUACGGGAGCCGCUUCUGUAAACGGCACCGAACAACCCUACAAGGGCCGAGCACCGCGAGCUCUACACUGACCCUUUGUAAGCUGUUAAACAUGUGCAGCUCAAGUGGAAAUAUCCGCCAUUACAACCCAGGCUGAAGAGCGGGGAGGUCCGAGUACUGGCAGAACAGCAGCGCCUCCUUCAGGAGAUCCAUAGUACUCAUCAGGGAAUUCCAAACCAUAGUACAAAUCAAGAAGUAAGGCACCAUGCUGUUCAAUAUUCAAUUUGCUUAUCAUGCCUGGAAGAUAACUUACUUGCAGCAUGGUUACAGUUUUGUAACCAUGUAUUUUUGAAUCGGUUAAGGCCAAUUUCUUGCUGCUUCUUUAACAGCAAGUUGCAUACUGUGUUUACACUUUAAAUAUGCAUCUCAAAAGCCCAGCUUCUAAUUACCCCUCCACAUGUGUCAAGUUAAAUCCUUUGCUGUGCUUUUGCACAUACUAUUGUACAUAUUUACAAACAAGCAAAACAAUUAACCAUCCUCCGAUGGUUCCUGCUUUCUUAUGCAGAUACACAUUCUUAUGCAGAUGACGUGGAAGAGGAAGCACAAUGGUAGGGAUCCCAUUAGCAAUGCAGUGCUGUGAGCUCUGUUUCUCAGCUGACGUGAGAUGAUACAGAUAUCUGACCUUCUCUGACUCCUUCACACAUACAGAGGCGGCCCUGUGGAUGAGCUCACAGCUCACAUCUGCCCCCUGAUGGGAUCGUCCACAACGCUGAAAACACUGCCUUCUCCUGAAAGAGCAAAACUUGUCCACCUUCCAGUACAGUGCGUACUUCAAGCACGAGUACUAGAAGACAAGUGUUAACUUUGUAAUGACAGGAAGGUUGAAAGGUUCUUAAACUCACAGGCUGAAAAUCAUCAACAUUUAGUGCAUGGGAUUGUCUGCGGAAGCAACCAAGUUUAAGUGGUGGAAGCAGAGAGAGAGUCUACGGCUGGUAAGGAUCAGCCCCCUCCCCCCUGCAGUUUAGCCUCCAUCUGUGUGCACCCCCCACCCCUCAUUCUACCCAUACAUUCACCAUAUGUCCAUGUCACCCCUCCCCCUUUACUAGCACCUUUCCCCCUCCACAGGCCUACUGCUUGCCAUACUAUAACAAAUAAAGAAAAAUAACAACCAGCAAGUCUGACCCUGCAGGGGGUCUUUGGAUUCACAAUCACAGUACCAGCUGCUGCUCUAAAGCAUUAUGGGUAAACAUGGCAUGGGCAGAUGAACGCACAUUGGGUUAGGGUUCCCGGGCCUGAACUGUAAGGGCUUGACCAUGCAGAGUGAAAACGGUACCACAGAGGUGGAGAAGGCCAACGUCCACUGGAAGAGCGGCCCACCAAAGCACGACCUUUAAUCUUUAGCCCUCUUAGACUUGACCCAGUUCCAUCUCAUCUGAAACACUUUCCUGCACUCCCAGAAGGUCAUCCUAGACCACCUCCAUUCCACCAAACAUCUGGUAUUCAUAUGGAUCACUGUGAGCCUGAAACACACGUACACGUUAAAAUAGGGUAGACCUGUUGUAAUAAUUUCAUGCCUUUACGUUCAUUCAUUUACAUGUCAGUAGAUGAACUCAAGGGUGGAUUUUAGCCAUGAUCCAGAUUCACUCACACAUACUACAGUGCAUCCAACCAAACAAAAGCUAAAUUUACCAUGUACUGUCUUCACAGCCCCAUGUCAAGCUUAUUUUUCCUCGGUCUUGUGUUUGUUCCCACUGGUAAACAUCCAGGGUGCCUCCUGAGAGGUUACAAUGGACCGUGGAGCAGAAAGUGUCAGAUUGUCUAAAGAAAUGUACAAAGUGACAGAAGCCAAACUCCUCAGCAGUCACAUGACCCUGUGUUAGAGAACGUGACACUGUAAGCACUGGGGUGUUUAAAGGGCUGCUAAUGAAGAGAUAAUCAAGUCAAUUACAGAACGAAAACGACACGCUUCUCUGGCACGUGAGAUGCGCCGCGAAGAUCCAUCAAGUCUGGAUGUGACUGUAAUUCCACCAAUGCCAUCUCACCUGGAGUGCUGCUGGUCUGACAGGAGGUUGAAAUGGGAGGAUGCACACCACUGGUCAUGAACACUUCGCCUAAGCAACAGCGAGGCGGAAACAGCUCCCUUUGCGCAGUUGGAAUGAGUGACCCGGGGGUGUAAAGCUCAGAAAUGCACAUUUCAUAACCCUAUAAACCCUUUCACUGCGGUUUAAUUGACCAGCAUUGGGGCCGGGGGGCCUACGGCCUGAAGUCCAGACUAGAUGACGGCAUUUUUUGUAGCGGGUAGCAGAGAGGUGACCUCAAAGCCGGCCAGAGGGAGGCACCCACUUCCUGUCUGAGUGGCCCAGUACACCACAUCUGCAGAUCCUUUCAACACAUCACUGUCCCCAUCUUUGCCCCCCUGGCACCCCCAUCUCCUGGACACCUUAAUCCGGCUGUCAGCUCACUCUAAUUCACUGUGUCAAGGAGAAAGCCACGUCCUCUCCCACUGGGAAGCUUAGGACUACUUGCGGGUGCAAGCGGAUUACAGUAACCCAUUGUAAUCUUUCCACUAUGUACCGAGCCAAGAGAUAGGAGUCCACUUCAGCCAGAACCAUAUAAAGGCAAGAUUCACUUGGGACAUUAAACCGAGACUAACAUUUGGCCUUGUGCACAUUGUUCUUGUUUGCCCUAACAUGCCUCAAAUAUGGCAGUAAACAAAUGUGUUACUUUUCAGCUGGAUGGGAAAAGCUGCAACGCAUCAAGCAAGCCUGAGCUCUCGCAGCCUGACGCCAAAAUGAAAAAGUGAAUCUGGGCUUGCUCUCACCGUUAAGUCCCAUAAACAGACGCAAAAGCUGAACAAUCCCCAAGAGAUCAACCGCUAGUUAGCGAGAUUUGGCUCCGUUUUAAGAGUUGGAAUAUAGCGCAUUAAGAUGGAUUUCAGCACCAUUGUGGAUCAGCUUUAUGAAUCUUGCUUAGUAGAGCAGUGCAAGUACAGUACUGCAAAACACAAUGUGCAUCAUUACGGGCCUCCGUUCCACAAACCGGCAUUUAGAUACAAACCACUGUUCUGUUCUAUGGAACGAACGGCACAACAAAAACCAUCAAACAAGACAAACAGAAUUUCUUUCUUGGUAUUUUUUGUGUCUUGGGUGGUCAAAUUGUUUUUCUAAAGAGACGGGACUCCGCAGCCUGAUACGUAGUCAACAAAGAGAGGACAGGGAGCACCAGAGAGUCAGGGGGAUUAACACAGCUCAGUACUGUUUGCAUUAAUGAAAUGGUCUAUUGUGACCCUGUCGAAACAUGCGGCCUUGCGCGGCUCUCUCGUGCUACCAAGAACCCAUGCACUAGAUCCCCACACUUCUACUUGUUGUUCUUCCCACCAUGAACCACUUGACAGCAGCUCCAAGGCCAUUAUGCAGGCAUUGACCUUGAAGCAAAGCCUGCAACUUGUCCUGUGUCACACUCCAGGCCUAGACUUCUACAACCAGACUUUUACUACAAAUGCUAAUACCAAAAGUCAGAAGACAGAAGUCUAAAUAAGAUGAGAAGUGAGACAUUCAUUUUAAAAAGUGUAAACAAUAACAAUUUUUUUACAUUUUCUGCUCGUUGGACGUAGAUGAGUAUGAGUUAUCUAAGGACUCUGGAAUUAUAAUAUCACUCUAUUGAUUUCCAAGGCUUCAAGCACAUGAAUAAUCGCUGCCCUGUCAGGUUAACAAUAAAGACAGGCUGCUUACAUUUCUGCCCUUCUUAAAACCUUAAUGAUCUCAGAUGUAAGACCUUCUAAUCAUCAAAAAGACUAUCAAUAAUUAAACAUAUUGUAGGGUGAAACAAGUGGAGACUGUAACCCAAGCAGAAGAAAUAAAUUAUAGUGAUCCUAAAAACAUGUUAUUGAACACAGAGCUCCAGUUUUUUAAUUAAUUUACUUAGCGGAUAGUAGAAUCUUUUUUUCAAACGGUUGUCGAAAGUUCUGUUGCUAUAGUAUUUAUUUACAUAUUAAAUUUCUGUGUGAUGUGAAGGUAGAAAGAUAUGUUGACACUGCCCAGUGGAUGGGUCUUAUUGAUGGCUCCGCCUACAGCAGCAACUCUUUUUCACUGAUUACGGGGCCACAGAAUGCUCAGCGAACAGGUUGCGGAGUGGGACAAGGUGGUGGCAUCUGCGCCUGAGGACAGUCCAUCCAAGAGACACGUGAACACGCCCACAAGAGACGAGCCGUCACCGAGCAUGCUUAGUUCUCAUUCUUGAGACGCCCGGUGACCCCGUCCACCAGAGCUGAUUACACAUCAGUGCCUGUGGCUAUUUUAAGUGAGGAUUCCCUGCGCUGGUCUUGCUGCCCAUCUGAAAACACAUCCACUGGCCAAUGAGCAAGAUGCUUAUUGAACCUGGAAAUUUAGCCGUGAUGCUGUGCUGCACAGUGAGGGGGCACCAAGAUGGAUUUGUGCUGAUUAACCCAUGUUGUCUGUGUACACAGGUGGGAGAGCAUUGAAACUCCCCCUGUGUGCGCGCUGCACCCGAGUGCUCAUUAAACCUGUCCGCCUGCGGCUUCUCUUCCUCAGGGAGGUGUGGGGCAAAGCUUAACUUAUGGAAUAAAGGCCGGGAUGACAGAUUUCACUGGCGCCCCAACGGCCAAUUGAUUACUCUUUGACCUUUUAAUUAGCAUUAUCAAUUCAUCAUUCAAGCACAUAACUGGCCAUCGGCAAUUAAUGGAGACAGUUUUUUAAUCAUUAGAAGCACUGGAGUGUGACGUUAAAUGUUCUGACCAUGACAGUCUAGCCCAUGAGUUCAUGCUGGGGCACAACGGGAAAAAGACGGGGGACUAAUUCCCUGCGCUCUGUGCAGACCAGACUAGGACACACUCAGUAACAGAUUAUGAUAUUCUUGUCGGUCCACCUGCAUGUCACACCUGUUUUGCACGUGUGUAACUCACCCCUGUGUCAGAACACGCUACCAUGUGUUUUUACAGAUGUGACCUUUCUUUAAACAACAGCGAAAUGGCUGCUACUCUAACAUAGUUAAAAGAGACACAGCGAGACCCCCCGGGGAUUAAACCUGGAACCUUCUGGUCAGUUCUUUAACCACUUAAAUUAAAAAUUCAUAAAACUGAUUCUUUAAAGCAGAGGAUUAAUGAAUACACAAUCAUGAAGAAGACAUGACUGGGGUGCUGAUUUAAAUAUUACAAAUACAGCUGUAUUGUUUAUUUCAUGUCUUCUGAGUUAGUUACACUAAACCAGGGACUGAGAAUUUUAAAUAAGGCAACGAGCAAAAGUUUCCCCACUGCUAAUCCAUUCAGAGAGAGUUGGGUGACAGGUGUCCAUGAGUGUCCAGCAAACAUCUUCAGCGACAGCAGGACUUAAAGGGGAUGGCAGAAAGGAAUGUAAAAGGGAGAGACAAACAUAUCUAAUACCCUCAAACCAGGCCAGCUUCACCGGAGUAAAGUCAUCCAGAGUAAAAUCAUGUCUGAGACCGACAGGGUCGACCUACACUUAGCUCAUGCUGUUUUUCAAGUGUAAACAGGACCUGUCAGAGGAAGAUGAGGCAUCACUGCUAAUCAUCUUAGGCUGCUCCACAGCGCAGGCUCCCGCUCUGGGAGUCACUGCUGGAAUCACAGCUGGUUCGCAUCGGUGUUGCGGAGGCAGUGGGAGUCCUGGAGAUACCUGAGGCCCUUUGGCUGCUGCAGAUUACAGGAGCCCGAAUAGGAAGCCCUGAGCCUGCCCACUUCCUGCUUCACUCGCCUGACCUCCCACGCUGAGGAAACCAGGGUCACGAGAGUCACAAACUGCACGAACCUCCAAAAACAGCAGAAGCCAGGAAACAGCGAGCUGCAAGAACGGUGUCAACAGGUGCCAUGUGCCUUAUUAAGAAAAGAGAAUUAGAGGUCACAUUUAAGAAAUAAACAACAAAGGCCUGCCCCCACGUUGCCACUGUGCUAAAAACAGGAAUCGUCCAAUGUGCAGUUACAGACGGUUUACCCUGUGGUUUCCUGGACCUCACCUAACCGCACCACACACACACACACACACAUAGUGAGAGUAUUACUUAAUAGACAACACCAUUUCCAAACCUCUGUCAUCCCCUAGUGGCAAAAAGAGUAUCACACCCUACCUUUUGUCCUGUUCCCCAAGAGAAACCCCCCCCUCAGGAUCCACUGGAGUUUGAGGAUAGGAAAGGAGAGGAGAAUCACGCUACUGGCAAACCUCUGCACGAUACGGCACCACAACAGAUGAGUCAGAGAAAUAGUUUGUAUGGAUUGUUCAGCAGAAA